rnacentral:rRNA from 1 species
GCGGCGUGCUUCAUACAUGCAAGUCGAACGAGAAGCAGGAGCUUGCUCCUGUGGAAAGUGGCGGACGGGUGAGUAACACGUAGGAAAUCUGCCUUUGGGUGGGGGACAACAGUUGGAAACGACUGCUAAUACCCCAUAUGAGCUUGGUUGCAAUACCAAUCUUGAAAACUCCGGUGCCUAAAGAUGAGCCUGCGUCUGAUUAGCUUGUUGGCGGGGUAAUGGCCCACCAAGGCGACGAUCAGUAGCUGGUUUGAGAGGAUGAUCAGCCACAAUGGGACUGAGACACGGCCCAUAGUCCUACGGGAGGCAGCAGUAGGGAAUGUUGCGCAAUGGGGGAAACCCUGACGCAGCAACGCCGCGUGAAUGACGAAGCCCUUCGGGGUGUAAAGUUCUGUCAGUAGGGAAGAAUUUUGACUGUACCUACAAAGGAAGCACCGGCUAACUCCGUGCCAGCCGCCGCGGUAA